rnacentral:lncRNA from 1 species
GUUCAAUUAGGUUGGUUUAAAUAAUGAAACCACCUUGACCCAUUCUCCCUGCGCCACCUCACUUCCACUGCGCCCAUUUGAAUUCACGAGAAGGAAGUUCUCAUGAAUUUUUCCUCACGUAAAGCCCUCCUCACACUCUACUUUAAUGCACCAAAUGAGUGGAUAAGGAUGAUUGGUUGGCCAUUCAAAUUCAAAACAAAGUUUGAAUUUGAAUGAGCAACCAAUCUUAGCGCCUUGACCUUAUCCUCUUUUAGCGCUC